UUCCUAUGAUGAAUAUAAUUGUAUAAGAGUAGUGGACAGAAGUGAUUUCUGAGAAUUUAUUCUGAGGCA